GGGUCGGUGGCGUAGUUGGUUAUCGCAUCUGUCUAACAUUCUAAUGGGGGUACAUAAUUUCACAGAAGGUCCUCAGUUCGAACCUGGGCCGACUCA
rnacentral:tRNA from 1 species